GUUUUGUUGGGGAACCAAAUGUGAGAGCUGUGAUUUUUGUCUUUGUUAGCAAUUAAAUGGGAUCUCAUGAAAGACUCUCAUUUUUCCAUCGCAAUUUUUUCAUGCUGCCACUGAUUUGAAAGUCACUUCUCACCCACUAGGAGAAAUCUCUGCAGAAUUCCCUAGCAACAACCUGAAUAAAGAAACAGCCACCUCGGGUAUGAGGAUGUUCCCGGGAUUAUCCGAACCCACCGCAGCGCCGUGAGGACGAGGAGAAGAUCCACGGGGUCACGGGGAGGAGAGUUCAGCUCCUCCAUGAUUUAUGGCUCAGUGGAGAUUACAGACACUUGUCUCCACAAGUGUGACUCUGCAGUGUUUCUGCUUGGCCGCUGCCCAACCCCGGGGAUGAGUGACUGCGCCCAGCUCCUGGAUGCCCUCCUGUCGCAGCCGGAGCCGCAGCGAGUGCAGGUCAGCCCAGCCCAGCAGACUGCAGAGAGAAGCCAAAUGCUUCGUGUUCGAUAAAACCACGGGUCAGAACCACGAUGCCCUCCCUGCAUCGAGACAAGGAAUCACAGAUUGGUGCAGGAACACGAACAUUAAUCAUUUCUAUCCGUGUCUCUUCCUAUUUACUCUGUGGUACUUCAGUCUCCAGUGUGCAGUAGAGCCAGUUGCUGUUUUGCCACUGAAAAUAUUCCCAGCAGAAAAUGCAGCUUUGUGAAGACCCAGAGUUGUUCAAGGAGAAGAGACUGUCUGGAAGAAAAUGAUCACAUUUUCAUCACUUCUUUUUUUUUUUUUUUUGUUCUGAAUUGACAUCCCAGCUCUACAUGCUCUGAAUUUUGCAUUCAGAGAAUUGAAUUCUAUUAAAAAGUGUGGAAAAAGGGCUCCAAGCUGAACUGUUUCUGGAUUUGAAACAUCACCUCCUCAUAUUUUCUCCUUGCAGCUCAGAAUUACAAACAAAUGUUGAGAAAAGGCCUUACCCAGGACAUAACCUCUUUAUUUCCUGAUCAAACUCCACUAAAGAGCUUGAAAGCUGGGAACUGCAGAUGUCUCAAGCUGCCAACCAUCAUUUUGGUAAUGGGUAAGCUUAUUCUGCUCUGCAGGAGAGGACUGGAAAGACUUGGCAAGAAAGAGGAUUGGAAUAAAAUAAAAAAGAAAUAAAAUAAAAAGAAGAAAAUGGCCGUGAUUGAAUGUGGAUG